GAUGAACGCUGGCGGCGUGCCUAAUACAUGCAAGUCGAGCGAACAGAUGAGGAGCUUGCUCCUCUGACGUUAGCGGCGGGCGGGUGAGUAACACGUGGAUAACCUACCUAUAAGACUGGGAUAACUUCGGGAAACCGGAGCUAAUACCGGAUAAUAUAUUGAACCGCAUGGUUCAAUAGUGAAAGACGGUUUUGCUGUCACUUAUAGAUGGAUCCGCGCCGCAUUAGCUAGUUGGUAAGGUAACGGCUUACCAAGGCAACGAUGCGUAGCCGACCUGAGAGGGUGGUCCGCCAAACUUGAACCGGAACACGGUUCAAACUCCUAAGGGGAGGAAGAGUAAGGAAUCUUCCCGAAAGGGCGAAAGGCUUAAGGAGCCACGGCGCGUGAAGGGAGAAAGGCCUCGGGAUGGAAAACACCUGUAAUAGGGGAAGAAAAAAGGUGAAGGAACCAUUGCCAGUUUGAACGGAACCUAACAGGAAAGCCCCGCCAAACUACUG
rnacentral:rRNA from 1 species